AUUGAACGCUGGCGGCAUGCCUUACACAUGCAAGUCGAACGGUAACGCGGGGCAACCUGGCGACGAGUGGCGAACGGGUGAGUAAUGCAUCGGAACGUGCCCAGUAGUGGGGGAUAGCCCGGCGAAAGCCGGAUUAAUACCGCAUACGACCUACGGGCGAAAGGGGGGGAUCGCAAGACCUCUCCCUAUUGGAGCGGCCGAUGUCAGAUUAGGUAGUUGGUGGGGUAAAAGCCUACCAAGCCGACGAUCUGUAGCUGGUCUGAGAGGACGACCAGCCACACUGGGACUGAGACACGGCCCAGACUCCUACGGGAGGCAGCAGUGGGGAAUUUUGGACAAUGGGGGAAACCCUGACCCAGCCAUGCCGCGUGCGGGAAGAAGGCCUUCGGGUUGUAAACCGCUUUUGUCAGGGAAGAAACGCUCUGGGCUAAUACCUUGGAGUAAUGACGGUACCUGAAGAAUAAGCACCGGCUAACUACGUGCCAGCCGCCGCGGUAA
rnacentral:rRNA from 1 species